AUUCGUAGUUGCUAUUCCGUGAUUGACCAGAAUAAUCGAAAUUGUACAGGGAAUCAACAGAUGUAGUUUGGGAAUAGCGUACCAACGCGUCGACAUCCUAAACAUCGAACUAUUCAAAGAUUUGAAUUUCCAAAUUUUAAUAAACACUCGUUUACCGUGUGGGACUGAAAUCCGUACAGCACCGAAAUCCGUACACUUGCUCCGCGUACCUUAAUUUUUUCAAAAUACAAAAAAAAUCCAAAUGUGUGUUGCAUACGGGAUAGGACAUGUCCAAGCUUUUCUCCUGAAAUUCCCGGAUAUUUCCUGCCUGCUGAUUACCCUGCAUUACGCCACAAAAAUGAGUUUCGUAAUGAGCAAUUCUUUAUGCAAUUCUUCUUCAUGAGCAUGGAUGACCGUACAAUUCGUAGUUGCUAUUCCGUGAUUGACCAGAAUAAUCGAAAUUGUACAGGGAAUCAACAGAUGUAGUUUGGGAAUAGCGUACCAACGCGUCGACAUCCUAAACAUCGAACUAUUCAAAGAUUUGAAUUUCCAAAUUUUAAUAAACACUCGUUUACCGUG